GGGUGCGAUCAUACCAGCACUAAUGCACCGGAUCCCAUCAGAACUCCCCAGUUAAGCGUGCUUGGGCGAGAAUAGUUCUAAGAUGGGCUUGUCUUAUGACUUUCCUGGAAACAGGAUAGUGGCUUGAC
rnacentral:rRNA from 1 species